UACGUAGGGUGCAAGCGUUAAUCGGAAUUACUGGGCGUAAAGCGCGCGUAGGCGGCUUUGUAAGUUAGAGGUGAAAGCCCGGAGCUCAACUCCGGAACUGCCUUUAAAACUGCAUCGCUUGAAUCCAGGAGAGGUGAGUGGAAUUCCGAGUGUAGAGGUGAAAUUCGUAGAUAUUCGCAAGAACACCAGUGGCGAAGGCGGCUCACUGGCUCGGUACUGACGCUGAGGUGGCGAAAGCGUGGGGAGCAAACAGG
rnacentral:rRNA from 1 species